ACUGGCUUAAUUACUAUGCAAAAAGCCUCAAGCAACAGAGAAAAAGUUGAUGCUAUGCAAAGACUGUAUAAAUGAAGCACAUGGAGCCUUGUUGAGUGUGAAGUCUGAAUUUGAAAGCAAUGAAAAAAUCUUACUAAAUAUUGGAAGAACUUUAUGAGAAAUGUGAUGUCCAAAACUUUCUCAUUGUUUCCAGCAUGAACGUUAUGAAUAUUUAUAGCUCCUAAGAUAAAUAAUUGAAUAAAUCCACAAAAUUGUUAGACUGUCUAAGCCAUCAGCACCCUACGACAAUCUAUUUUGGGUCUAUCUGCUUUCUGCAUACUUAGAUAAGAUUAUUGUUAUUAUGCAUGACUCUUGGGUGAACAUCUGUUAUUAAAAUCUUUAGUAAAUUGCACAUGGGCUCAAAGACAUCUCUGACGGGCUAGUCUUACAUACAUUGGCAGGUACUGCCUACUUUCUCUCUCUUUCCAUUAAUUAACAUUCAAACAGAAAGAAAUGGGAUGCAAUGAAUGGAGUGGUGUAGUUCUAAAUUUCUGAAGCAUGUUUUCCAAUUUCAGUCCAUGUACCUGCACACUGCUACAUUGGUCUGAAAUCUGGAUGAAUGGGAAUUUCAAUCCAGGAGUGACUGGGGUCGACACUGAGACUACACGCUGGUGGGAAGAAGGCUUACACAGUCUCAGAGCUCCCAUGUGACUACAAUUCCUGUCAUCUGCAGCUGGUCUCACCAAGAACUGGAAAUAUGCAGUUUUCAAAGCUAUGGCAGCAGGCUUACCUGUCAGCUGAGAGAGCAGUGAGAGUGAAGACUGACACCCCUACAGAAGUGAGCUGUAUGAAGGGGAUAAGUUUACAUCCAAUUCUGCCAAAGAGCCACUCAUCAGCAAGGUACCUACUGGCAUCCACAGGCACGCAAGUCACUAAGAGCAGCAGGUCUCCCAAAGCCA